UACGUAGGGCGCAAGCGUUAUCCGGAAUUAUUGGGCGUAAAGAGCUCGUAGGCGGUUUGUCGCGUCUGCCGUGAAAGUCCGGGGCUCAACUCCGGAUCUGCGGUGGGUACGGGCAGACUAGAGUGAUGUAGGGGAGACUGGAAUUCCGGGUGGUAGCGGUGAAAUGCGUAGAUAUCGAGAGGAACACCUGCGGCGAAGGCGGGUUGCUGGGCCGACACUGACGCUGAUGCGCGAAAGCGUGGGGAGCAAACGGG
rnacentral:rRNA from 1 species